CCUACGGGAGGCAGCAGUGGGGAAUAUUGCACAAUGGGGGAAACCCUGAUGCAGCGACGCCGCGUGAGUGAAGAAGUAAUUCGUUAUGUAAAGCUCUAUCAGCAGGGAAGAAAAUGACGGUACCUGAGUAAGAAGCCCCGGCUAACUACGUGCAAGCAGCCGCGGUAAUACGUAGGGGGCAAGCGUUAUCCGGAUUUACUGGGUGUAAAGGGAGCGUAGACGGCAGUGCAAGUCUGGAGUGAAAGGCGGGGGCGCAACCCCCGGACUGCUCUUGAAACUGUACGGCUGGAGUGCAGGAGAGGUAAGUGGAAUGCCUAGUGUAGCGGUGAAAUGCGUAGAUAUUAGGAAGAACACCAGUGGCGAAGGCGGCUUACUGGACUGUAACUGACGUUGAGGCUCGAAAGCGUGGGGAGCAAACAGGAUUAGAUACCCGGGUAGUC
rnacentral:rRNA from 1 species